rnacentral:rRNA from 1 species
GACGAACGCUGGCGGCGUGCCUAAUACAUGCAAGUAGAACGCUGAAGAGAGGAGCUUGCUCUUCUUGGAUUAGUUGCGGACGGGUGAGUAACGCGUAGGUAACCUGCCUGUUAGCGGGGGAUAACUAUUGGAAACGAUAGCUAAUACCGCAUAAAAUUGUUUAUUGCAUGAUACUUAAUUGAAAGAUGCAACUGCAUCACUACCAGAUGGACCUGCGUUGAAUUAGCUAGUUGGUAAGGUAACGGCUUACCAAGGCAACGAUACGUAGCCGACCUGAGAGGGGAAUGGGCAACACGGGACCGGAGAAACGCCCCAGCCUCUAACGGGAGCAAGAGGAAGGGAUUCUCGGGCAAGGGGGGAAAGCUGAACGAGGAAAGCCGGGGGAGGUAAGGAGGUUCUCGGAUCGGAAAGCUUCGUUGAAAGAGAAGGACGGGAGGGAGAGUGGAAAGUUCACACUGUGACGGUAUCUUACCAGAAAGCGACGGCUAACUACGUG